AUUGAGACACCGUUUCUCGUAAAAUCACCAAAGUUAAGCAACGUCGAGCCUGAUCAGUACCUAGAUGGGUAACCGCUUGGGAAUAGCAGGCGUUGUAAG